rnacentral:lncRNA from 1 species
CUGAGAUUAGGCACUAAGGUACACUGAAAAGCACACAAGGGAGCCAACCUUUCUAGGGGAAAUACAUGUGACAUCACAAUCAGAGAAAGUAAGGUGUGAGCAAGUGAAAAUGACCAUUAUGGUGUAAAAUGAUACACUGAUGCCACAGAACCUGGGUGGGAGGAUUCCUGCUGGGGAGGAUUCUGCUGAGGUUCUAAAUGCAGACACCAAGACUGGCAAACUGCGGGGCCCAUCACUUAUAGAUAGAUAUGUGGAAAGGAUAUAGGCACAGACAAGCACAAAAUCAACAGACUCAACAGCUGCGUGAGUAUUUACUAAGGACCUACUGCCACACUUCAGGCCUUCCUUUCAGCCUCCUCGGUGAGGAGAACAGGGCAGUAAUGGAAUUCUCAAGAGCAC